rnacentral:rRNA from 1 species
CAGCAGCCACGGUAAUACGGAGGGAGCUAGCGUUGUUCGGAAUUACUGGGCGUAAAGCGCGCGUAGGCGGUUACUCAAGUCAGAGGUGAAAGCCCGGGGCUCAACCCCGGAACUGCCUUUGAAACUAGGUAACUAGAAUCUUGGAGAGGUCAGUGGAAUUCCGAGUGUAGAGGUGAAAUUCGUAGAUAUUCGGAGGAACACCAGUGGCGAAGGCGGCUCACUGGUCCAUUACUGACGCUGAGGUGCGAAAGCGUGGGGAGCAAACAGGAUUAGAUACCCGAGUAGUCCCUGUCUCUUAUAC